rfam:Gossypium hirsutum cultivar TM-1 chromosome 6, whole genome shotgun sequence
AUUCUGUGAUGAGGGCAUCUUCGUAAUAGUUCUUUAAACCUUUCCCAUGCCUCAUACAAGGACUUGUGAUCUAUCUGUUAGAAGGUAGUAAUAUCGUUCCUCAACUU